ACAACUCUCAACAAUGGAUAUCUUGGCUCCCGUAUCGAUGAAGAACGCAGCGAAAUGCGAUACCUAGUGUGAAUUGCAGGAUUCCGUGAACCAUCGAGUUUUUGAACGCACAUUGCGCUGU
rnacentral:rRNA from 1 species